GAUGAAGAACGUAGCGAAAUGCGAUACGUAAUGUGAAUUGCAGAAUUCAGUGAAUCAUCGAGUCUUUGAACGCACAUUGCGCCCCCUGGUAUUCCGGGGGGCAUGCCUGUCCGAGCGUCAUUGCUGCCCUCAAGCUCAGCUUGGUGUUGGGCCCCGCCGCCCCGGCGGGCCCUAAAGUCAGUGGCGGUGCCGUCCGGCUCCGAGCGUAGUAAUUCUUCUCGCUCUGGAGGUCCGGUCGUGUGCUCGCCAGCAACCCCCAAUUUUUUUCAGGUUGACCUCGGAUCAGGUAGGGAUACCCGCUGAACUUAAGCAUAUCAAUAAGCGGAGGA
rnacentral:misc_RNA from 1 species